CUCCUCUCCCUGCACCUCACCCACUCCCCCCCAUCCCCGCCCGAGGCCCAGCCCUCCACAGGGCAGCAGUGCCUUAACGGUUUCACAUCAGGCUUCUGCUUAAGAUUUUAUCUGAACAAGUGUCACUUCAGCCAUGAAAACCGGUCACCACUGAACAGUUCACUCAAGCUUAGUUAAAACGGCAAACCCCAUUUAUAUUGUCUCACAAUAAAAGAUCUGAUCAAUUGCUGGGUCAGAUCAUCUCCAAGUCCCCGUCAUCUGAGCCGUGACCUCUGCCCUGUCUGCUCUGCCGUGCCCCUCCCCCAGUCCUCCCAGAGGCCCCGCGCUCUGCUGAGCUCUUUGGAGCGACGCAGUGUUCUGUGGGAAGGCCAAAGUCCUGGGCACCUGGCGAGGACCUCAGCCCACAGUGGAAACAUCGGUGGGGAGACAGGGGAAGGGGGACGUUGUUGCCCAAAACUAGAGAGCAGCCCUUCUCCUAUUUCUUGUCUCCACACACACCAAACAGGACAGACGUCAAAGGAACACAUACGCACGCAGGUUAAAUUCGAACACUUACAUAAAUGUGAGAGGACCUCCUCUCAAGGGACCCCUAGGCCCCAAGGCCUCCAGGAGGCUGGAUGUUGUUCUGAGUAGGACAAAGGGGAGAUCUGAGAUUUUAGAUUCUAAAACAGGAGAGGGGAGCCCCCUGAGGUGGGAGAGGGAAGAGAGGGGAGCCCCUGAGGUGGGGGGAGGGUGAACAGAGGAGACACAGAAGCCAGAAGGUAGAAGGGCCUGGGUGGUGAGGGGAAGGGCUCCCCACACGAGCUGUCUCAGCUGCUCAGGAAGCCUCACCAGGGAGAAGCACAGAGGAGGGCUAAGACUCACUAUGAGGGGCAGGAGGGGCCCUGAGGCUCCUGGAAAUUGGGCCGACUCGGGCAGGACCAUUUGCUGGGGGGCCCGGAGGAUGUGCCCCCAUGCUUCCAGGGACCGGGAGGUCCACUUGGCAUCCGGAUCACACCUCAACCAAAGGUGGGGUCCUGGUGCCCUUGGCUUGGCAAGGAGGAUAAGCACAUCUGCUGCCCCCGCCGGCCCCGCCUGAUUUCUGAUGCACAAGCUCUGGGGCGGAAGUGAGGGCCCUUCCCCAAGAGGGGAAAUCCUGCCCCACCCUGAGACCCCCUGGAUGGCUCUGUUGUCUCCAGAGGGAAAACGAGGGGACUAGUGGGAAACAGGGGGUUUUCCCAGGCCCUUCCGGGCUUCCUCUUCGAAAAUAAGCCGCCAGACCUGCACAGCUGCGGCCGGACCCCGAAUAACCUCGCCACAAAGGCUGGCAGGCCUCCCAGUUAAAAAUAAUCUGCAGCCACUUCAUCAGGACAGAGCCAAGGGGCCCCCACCCAGAGAAGGCUUCCCUGCCCCCUGGUGUCUAUAGGGGCCGUUGGAAGUCAGUGAGCCAAACAGCUACCAUAUGUAGGGUUCAUAGUGCUAGGUGUCCCUCUCAGUUAAACCCUGCAACAGCCUUGAGGUGGGCGCCAUUAUUAUCAUCUAAGUGAUAAUGACAAAAAGGAGGCAUAUGUGCAGAGAGGGUAAUCAACCAGCCCAAGGUUACACAGCAGGGGAAUGGCCGAACAGGGACUCAGACUUGGAAAGCCCGGCCAAGUCUGUUGUUCCAGAUGUUGCCAUUCCCUCCUUCAGAGGCAGGAAAGCAGUGAGGGGUUGAACACUGUUCCCCCAUCCCCCCGGGCAAGUUGUCUGUCAGUCUUGUUCUCCUUACCGGAAAAGUCACGUAAGAGGCCGAGGAGGCGGAAGUCUAGGCCCAGAGCCGGCACAGUGCCCCUUCUGUUGUACCCUCUUGGUCAAAGCCAUCACAGGCCCGUCCAGACUCAAGGGAAGAGAGACAGACUACCCGUCUCAAGGUAGGUGUAAUUGUCCCCAUCUUAUGGAUUAACAGAUCGAGGUUCAGAGAGGUGACGGGUCCAGGGACAUAGAACUUGUGAGACAGACCCAAGGUUCACACCUGGGAUGGUGGCCUGGUCUGUGUGGGUCUGAAGUCUGGAGUCCUCUGCCCCACCACCCUGGCAGAGUGAUGGGUCAGGACUGACAGCUCACUUCAACAUCUAACCCAGUGGUUCCCAGCCUGGGCUGCAGACUCACCGGGGCAGUUUAAAAUCACAGAUUCCGGACCCUGCUCCCUGGAGUUAGGCUUUAAAUGGUCUGAUGUGGAGCCUGGACACUGGAAAUUUUUAAAGCACUCCAGUGAUUUGCAUUGCAGCCAAGGGCGGAGGACACCGUUAAAACCAAACAGGUUCCCUCCCUGCUUGUGGCCUGCAUGGAGAACCUUCCCCUGGACAUUCCUUCCCUGACCCUGAGCAUCUGGCUCCAGCCCUGCCCCUGUCCCACCCUCCAAGUCAGCGGGGAAGAGGAGACUGCCACCCGGCCAGCCAGCUUCCCCCGCACAGGGAUGGAGGAGAGACGUUCUGUUCCUGUGCAGGGAGGUGCUGGGACAAGCAGCUACCAUCAGAGCAAGUCCAGCCCCAGCGCUGCCGGAGGACAGGGGAUACAGGUUCAAAUCCCAGCUCUGCCACUAAUUGGUUGAGGCUUCUUUCAUCUACAAAAUGGAGUUAAUCAUGACCACCAAGCCUACUUCACAGAGGGUUUGCAGGUCUUCAGAGAGGAAAUGAAUAUAAAAACACCAUGUGAAGAAGUGCAAGACUUUACAUGGAAAACUAUAAAACAUCAUUUAAUGACACUCAAGACCUAAAUAAAUGAAAAGACAUCCCAUGUCCAUGGAUCAGAAGACUAAAUAUUGUUACAAUUGAAAAUUGUUAUAAGUGAAAAGGCAUCCCAUGUCCAGGGAUUGGAAGACUAAAUAUUGUUACGAUUGAAAAUUGUUAUAAGUGAAAAGGCAUCCCACGUCCAUGGAGUGGAAGACUAAAUAUUGUUACGAUUGAAAAUUGUUAAUAUUGUUAAUACUGUGCAAAUUGACAUUCAGUUUAAACAAAUUCUCACGGGCAGGGGGCAGAA